UGCCAGCAGCCGCGGUAAGACGUAGGGGCCAAGCGUUGUCCGGAUUUAUUGGGCGUAAAGAGCUCGUAGGCGGUUGCGUAAGUCGGAUGUGAAAACUCGGGGCUCAACUCCGAGACGCCAUCCGAUACUGCGCUGACUUGAAUCCAGUAGGGGAGUGUGGAAUUCCUGGUGUAGCGGUGAAAUGCGCAGAUAUCAGGAGGAACACCCAUGGCGAAGGCAGCACUCUGGGCUGGUAUUGACGCUGAGGCGCGAAAGCUAGGGUAGCGAACGGGAUUAGAUA
rnacentral:rRNA from 1 species